rnacentral:rRNA from 1 species
AGCAGCCGCGGUAAUUCCAGCUCCAAUAGCGUAUAUUAAAGUUGUUGCAGUUAAAAGCUCGUAGUUGAAUUUCGGGGUCAGCAGGUCGGUCGUGCCACUGGUAUGUACUGGCUUUGCUGAUUCCUCCCUCUUGACGAACCGUAAUGCCAUUAAUUUGGUGUUGCGGGAAAUCAGGACUGUUACUUUGAAAAAUUAGAGUGUUUAAAGCAGGCUUACGCUUGAAUACAUUAGCAUGGAAUAAUGAAAUAGGACGUUCGAUCCUAUUUUGUUGGUUUCUAGGAUUGACGUAAUGAUUAAUAGGGAUAGUUGGGGGCAUUAGUAUUCAAUUGUCAGAGGUGAAAUUCUUGGAUUUAUUGAAGACUAACUACUGCGAAAGCAUUUGCCAAGGAUGUUUUCAUUAAUCAAGAACGAAAGUUAGGGAUCGAAGACGAUCAGAUACCGUCGUAGUCU